UACGUAGGUGGCAAGCGUUGUCCGGAAUUAUUGGGCGUAAAGAGCGCGCAGGCGGUCGAUCAAGUCGCGUGUGAAAGCCCCCCGGCUCAACUGGGGAGGGUCACGCGAUACUGACCGACUCGAAGGCAGGAGAGGGUAGUGGAAUUCCCGGUGUAGUGGUGAAAUGCGCAGAUAUCAGGAGGAACACCGGUGGCGAAGGCGGGUCUCUGGGCCGAUACUGACGCUGAGGAGCGAAAGCGUGGGGAGCGAACAGG
rnacentral:rRNA from 1 species